UCGAGAGGCUUCCGCAAUGGGGGAAACCCUGACGGAGCGACGCCGCGUGGAUGAUGAAGCUGUUCGCAGUGUAAAAUCCUGUCAGAAGGGACGAAGCUAAAGAACGUGAAUAGCGUUUUAUAGUUGACGGUACCUUCAGAGGAAGCUCCGGCAAACUCCGUGCCAGCAGCCGCGGUAAUACGGGGGGAGCGAGCGUUGUUCGGAUUUACUGGGCGUAAAGGGCGCGUAGGCGGAUAUACAAGUCGAAUGUGAAAUCCAACGGCUCAACCGUUGAACUGCACUCGAAACUGCAUAUCUUGAGUACGGGAGAGGAAGGCGGAAUUCUUGGUGUAGCGGUGAAAUGCAUAGAUAUCAAGAAGAACACCGGUGGCGAAGGCAGCUUUCUGGCCUGAUACUGACGCUAAGGCGCGAAAGCGUGGGGAGCAAACAGG
rnacentral:rRNA from 1 species